rnacentral:misc_RNA from 1 species
AAGUCGUAACAAGGUAUCCGUAGGUGAACCUGCGGAUGGAUCAUUACCAAUUUUAUUAUAUUAGUUUGGGUAUGUUGCUCUGCUUUCGGGGAGAGUCGCAUUACACACAACUACUAUGUAAAUGUUGAACUAGAUCAAUCAGUUGUGGAUUGCUUGGGAAAGGCGAUGUAACUAUCUCCGGACAGGCAAACCCCACACUGGUAACCCUUUUCAAUUAUUAUACAAUUCGUAUAUACUACCAAAAACAAACAAAAAUUCUAUUAAUAGGACUUAUUAAUGGGCUGAGUGGGUAAAAUCCUCGGCUCUAUAAAAAUAUAACAAAAUACAACUUUCAGCAAUGGAUCUCUAGGCUCUC